AAACAAGUAUGCCGCUAACCUUGUCAAAAGAUAUGAUGCCAUUCAUUAAUCCAAGGUUGAUUAUUACUUCAUCAAAAACUGGAACACUUCCGCCAACAAGACCGGUAUUUCCACCUUGGGGUACAACAGGCAAGUCUCUGGAGUUGCAAUAUUUAAGUAUCUGAGAGACCUCUUCUGUGCUCCUAGGUUGUAGUAAAAGCUUACUCGACCCUCUGA
rnacentral:misc_RNA from 1 species